rnacentral:lncRNA from 1 species
UUGAUAUUAUAAAUCAAUUAAUACCCAACAAAAAAUUGGAAAAACACAAUCAUCAACAUCACUGUACAUCAGAAAAAACACAUAACUUAUAUAGCUUAUAUAUAACAAUAUAUUACUACGAGUUACUACACGUGACUAUAUAUGACUACACAUGACUAUAUAUGACUACAUGUAUAUGACUACACGUGACUAUAUAUGACUGCACAUGACUAUAUAUGACUACAUGUAUAUGACUACACGUGACUAUAUAUGACUACAUGUAUAUGACUAUACGUGACUAUAUAUGACUACAUAUACAUGUAUGACCAUAUGUGACUAUAUAUAACUACAUAUGACUACAUGUAUAUGACCAUAUGUGACUAUAUAUAACUACAUAUGACUACAUGUAUAUGACCAUAUGUGACUAUAUAUACCUACAUAUGACUACCUAUAUGAGUAUAGUCUUUUUCUUAUUUUUGAGUAAAUAUGAGUAUAGUCGUAUAUAGUGUAAUUUGGAUUUAUAUCUUCAAAUCCCACAUUUCAACCCGACAACAGCUCCGAUCUAUCGAAUGCAAAAGAGUUGUUUCGAAUUGAAGAACACCAUGUCCUCUCGGCAAAAACUUGGUGCAUAUAAGUUGUGCAAACACCAAACCUGUGACAGAAAAUCAAGUUCAAUUUAAAUAUUUACAUUAUAAUCAACUCACAACCAACAAAUGCUGAGGAAAUACACAAUCGUGUGCAUAUGUUACUACAUGUCACUAUAUAUUACUAUAUCUUACUACAUGUGACUACAUGUCACUAUAUAUGACUAUAAUUAUCUAUAGUUAAAUCUUCAUAUAUAUUCAAAAUAUACGGAAUCAUACACGAGGUGUCUAGCAUUAGUUGUUAUUCGACUCUAAUUUAUAUCAGAAAUUUUCAGUCGUCAAUCCAUCAAAAUUGAACCUCUUUAUGAGAUUAAAAGCUCUUACUCAAUUUGUCCUUAUCUUCAUAAUCAUAAACCUAUAAAUAAUAACAUUUUUAUAAAAAGUAAAAUAGCUCAACAUACUUCCUUCGUUGCUGCCAUUUGAAUCAAAAACCACAUUAAAUCAAUUCUCAAUUCCCAAAGAGAAGAAAAAAAAAGUUGAAAAGGGGAAAACCAAACGGUGGCAAAAAUGAAGAAAAUACGAACAAAUAAAAUGAAAAAAUUAACCAAGAGAAAAUUUGGGCAAAACCACUCAAUCAUCCAAUCCAUAACUGGAUUAAUAUUAAAAUGACCAAAUCCCAAAUAUUUAAUUCGUAUAAUAAUGAAUUGUAGGAAAAUUGUAUUUUUAGAAAAAAAAAAAAAACAGAAUGAACAAAGUGAAAUAGGAAUACCAGUACAACACGGUCGGCCGAAUCAAUGAAAAAUGCAAUGCAAACCAUCAGAGUUCUUCGAGCCAGAAUCCACCAAAACUACGUCGGAGAAACACGGUGUGUUAGAUCUGGUGAUGCAAUUAGGGCCAGCAAAUCCAGUCUCGAGCACUCGCGACGAUUUGAUGGUGGCGUGGGCGUCGACGACGGUGGUGAAAGGCGGAGGAAGACAACGCCGAUGGUGGAAGAAGAUAGGGAGCGGAGCGGCGGUAGGAAAAGCGAAGAGGAAGACGAAGAGAGAAGAGAGGGUCUAGGGUUUGCCCGGGGGAAGGGAAUUGGAG